UCCUUACGUCUAUUAAAGCCUCUGUUCAGCUAAGCAGCAGUCACUGAUUGCUUUAAGAACAACUAAAUGAAGCCAUCUGUAAGGGGUUGUGUCAAGGAUCUCUAGCUGAAUUCUUUAAAACCCACCUCUGGGCUAAGGAGCCGUGGUUCUCAAAAGUGGAGUAAAGUGCAAAUAUUUUGAAGGUGCUUGAUUUAUCCUGUUAAACGGCUGUCCUAAAAUAUUGUAGAGAUGCAGGAUAUGCCAAUAGAAAGAGUACUUUUUAAUAGUUGCUGUGGUUUUCCUUAUAAAAAAAAUACAUAGCUGUUAUUAAAUGUGGGGCCUUUAUUUACUUU